rnacentral:rRNA from 1 species
AAUGAACGUUGGCGGCGUGGAUUAGGCAUGCAAGUCGUGCGGAAAGGCCCCGCAAGGGGUACUCGAGCGGCGAAAGGGAUAGUAACACGUAGGUACCUACCUCCGGGACGGGGAUAGCUGCGGGAAACCGCAAUUAAUACCCGAUAACGUCUCCGGACCAAAGGUGUGAUUCCGCCUGGAGACGGGCCUGCGUCUUAUCAGCUAGUUGGUGAGGUAACGGCUCACCAAGGCAACGACGAGUAGCGGGUGUGAGAGCACGACCCGCAUCACUGGGACUGAGACACGGCCCAGACACCUACGGGUGGCUGCAGUCGAGAAUCUUCGUCAAUGGGCGAAAGCCUGAACGAGCGACGCCGCGUGCGGGAUGAAGGCCCUCGGGUUGUAAACCGCUGUCAGUGGGGAGGAAAUCUAGGGGGGAUCACCCCUUUAGUUGACCUAUCCGCAGAGGAAGGACGGGCUAAGUUCGUGCCAGCCGCCGCCGUAAUAC